CGCCCUUAGAGUUUGAUCAUGGCUCAGGAUGAACGCUGGCGGCGUGCCUAAUACAUGCAAGUCGAACGCAAAGGUGCUUGCACCUUUGAGUGGCGAACGGGUGAGUAACACGUGGACAACCUGCCUCAAGGCUGGGGAUAACAUUUGGAAACAGAUGCUAAUACCGAAUAAAACUCGUCGCAUGACCGAAGUUAAAAGGCGUUUGCGUCACCUAGAGAUGGAUCCGCGGUGCAUUAGUUAGUUGGUGGGGUAAAGGCCUACCAAGACAGUGAUGCAUAGCCGAGUUGAGAGACUGAUCGGCCACAUUGGGACUGAGACACGGCCCAAACUCCUACGGGAGGCUGCAGUAGGGAAUCUUCCACAAUGGGCAAAAGCCUGAUGGAGCAACGCCGCGUGUGUGAUGAAGGCUUUCGGGUCGUAAAGCACUUUUGUAUGGGAAGAACAGCUAGAAUGAAUAUUUUAGUGUGACGGUAC
rnacentral:rRNA from 1 species